rnacentral:rRNA from 1 species
AGAGUUUGAUUAUGGCUCAGGAUGAACGCUGGCGGCGUGCUUAACACAUGCAAGUCGAACGAUUAAACCGGCUCCGGCCGGAAAUAGAGUGGCGAACGGGUGAGUAACACGUGACCAACCUGCCCCGCGCACCGGGACAGCCUCGCGAAAGCGGGAUUAAUACCGGAUACUCCGGCGGGGGCGCAUGCCCCCGCCGGGAAAGCUCCGGCGGCGCGGGAUGGGGGUCGCGGCCCAUCAGGUAGUGGGUCGGGUAGAGGCCGACCCCAGCCGACGACGGGUAGCCGGGUUGAGAGACCGACCGGCCACAUUGGGACUGAGAUACGGCCCAGACUCCUACGGGAGGCAGCAGUGGGGAAUAUUGCGCAAUGGGGGCAACCCUGACGCAAGCAACGCCGCGUGCGGGAUGAAGGCCUUCGGGUUGUAAACCGCUUUCAGCAGGGAGGAUAGUGACAGUACCUGCACAAGAAGCCCCGGCUAACUACGUGCCAGCCGCAGC